AUUGUCACUGAUGUGUUAUUCGGUGGGUUUGCUUUGGUUUAAAGCUUAUUUUCAACUCACAAAUGCACAGAUCUCUCUCUGUUGAAAUAAUAUUCUCAUACACUUUUAUUAAACAUCAUUUUAUUAUAUUUUACUGAAUAAUUGUUUUUGUUUGUUUUGGUUGAGGAAUACAACUUGGGCUUAAAUAAAGACUUGGCUAAAAUAAAGACUUGCUGUUGGGAUUAAAGACUUUGCUGGUGGGCUUGAAGACUGUUACUGUUGGGCUUGAAGACUGUUGACUGCUUGAAGAGUGUUGACUGUUUUUUAAAGGCUGUAUAUACAGCUCUUGAUAAACAACCCUCACACUCACUGUAAGGUUAGGCAACUUCAAAGUUUCCAGAAUCAUCUCUCUCUCUCUCUCUCUCCUCGUUUCUUUCCUUCUCUCUCUUAGGGUUUGUUAAAUCUUGUUAUUCUUGUGAUCUUGUGUUAAGAUCAUUGUUCGUAGAAUAGAUCAGAGAUUGCAGAUCAUCGUGUUGAUGAUCUGCGUGUGAGUUGAGAGGUCUUUUCAGUUUAGUUUCUUGUUCUUUUGUUCAAAGCUGUUGUACAGUGAAACCAUAGAAACACAUGUAUGUGUGAAUGUUGAAGAAAGCAAAAAGCAAAUUAGAUGGAAUUGCGCACUUGAUAACGGAGUGGGCUAGUGGCGUGGAUAAUAGAUGACUGUAGUUGGCCUUGUAAGGAGAUUGAGCUAGCGCAAGUUCCCGCCAAACAUGAUGAGUUAAGUCACAACAGGGUCAGUUACCCAGUCUUACAUUUGUGCUACUUUACAUUAUUCUAUUGGAAUUAUAUCUUUUUUAUUAUCAUUUAUAUAUUGAUUAACAGUUAAUAACAGCCACUCCUUUGUGUACUAACCCACACCCCAUGUUCAAUAUAAUAAAAAUAGGUGCAACUUUUUUAUAAAAAUUACCAUAUAUAUGUAUAUAUAUUUGUUUUUCUAGAAUCCUUUUUCAACUUUUUUUAUAAAAACUACCAUAUAUAUGUAUAUAUAUUUGUUUUUUAGAAUCCUUUUUCAAUAUAAAAAAUAGGUACAGGAAUGAAAGCUACUUGAAUUUAAGUUUACCAGCUUGGGUUGUUUUGACUCUUUAACAGAUUUUCGAUCUUGCAUGAAAGAAAACUAAUUAGAUGUUUGGAUAUAACUUUUAAAAUGUGUAACUGUGAAGAAAAGAUAAAAGGAGCAAACCUUCAUUUCUGAAUGAUCAUGUCUUCCAGGCGUUUGAAUCGUGGUGAUCUGCUCGUUGACAUGCACAUUGGUUCAGCGUUCUACAUUUGUAUGUCGGCUCCAUCUUAGAUAAUAAAAAAAGUUAAAAACAAAUUCUAAGCUACCACUUUAGAUGUAAAAAAAAAAAAGAAAAAGAAACAUUAUGCACUUUAAGGAUUUACAACAAAACUUACAUUCUGUAGUGUUUUUUUAUCAGUAUCUUCACACGAUUUUGCUUGCAGGUCUGAAACAAAAGAAGUAACUACGGGUUUGUGUGUCUUGAGAGGACAAGGAGGCUAUUCUUGGCAGGAGGUUCUUCACACAAUUUAUAGCUUUUAAUUGAGUUUUGUAUUUAUUUUGAUAUGGUUUCAAAAGAUAGAACGUGGGUCUUGUAGUUUUUUUUUUUUUUUUUUUUUUUUUUUUGGUAAUUAAUGUGUUUU